ACCCGGAGGAAGAGAAAUCAAACGAGAUGCCCACAGUAGCGGCGAGCGAAGAGGGCAGAGCCCAAACCGAGAAGCUCCGGCUUUUCGGGGUUGAGGACCGGCAGAAUCGAAGUCAGGCCUAGUUGAAUUACCUGGAAAGGUAAGCGAGAGAGGGUAAAAGCCCCGUAGACGAAAGGCAGAGCAGAGAGGCCGAGAUCCAGAGUACCACGAAGCACGAGGAAUUUUGUGGGAAGCAGGGGGGACCACCCUCCAAGGCUAAAAACUACUUGGCGACCGAUAGCGCAUAGUACCGUGAGGGAAAGGUGAAAAGAACCCCGGGAGGGGAGUGAAAUAGUACCUGAAACCGUAUGUCUACAAGCAGUCGAAGCGAAAGCGACGGCGUGCCUAUUGAAGAAUGAACCAACGAGUUAUCUGCACUAGCGAGGUUAAGUGGAAGACACGGAGCCGCAGCGAAAGCGAGUCUUAAGAGGGCGCUAGUUAGUGUAGGUAGACCCGAAACCGCAGUGAUCUACCCAUGUCCAGGUUGAAGCGCAGGUAAAAUUGCGUGGAGGACCGAACCGGUGAGCGUUGAAAAGCUUUCGGAUGAGAUGUGGGUAGGGGUGAAAUUCCAAUCGAACGCGGAGAUAGCUGGUUCUCCCCGAAAUAGCUUUAGGGCUAGCCUGAGGUAGUAAGUAUAGGCGGUAGAGCACUGAUCGGGCUAGGGGCCGUAAAGGUUACCGAACCCUGUCAAACUCCGAAUGGAUAUACUGUAGAGCCUUGGAGUCAGACUACGAGUGAUAAGAUCCGUGGUCAAAAGGGAAACAGCCCAGACCACCAGCUAAGGUCCCCAAUGUCGUACUAAGUGGAAAAGGAUGUGGGGUUUCAUAAACAACCAGGAUGUUGGCUCAGAAGCAGCCACCAUUUAAAGAGUGCGUAAUAGCUCACUGGUCGAGAGACCCUGCGCCGAAGAUUCCCGGGGCUAAAGUACGAAACCGAAGCUGUGGCUGUAUACGUAAAGUAUACGGGGUAGGGGAGCGUUCCCAUAGGGUAGAAGUCGAACUGGAAGGUUCGGUGGACUUGUGGGAAGUGAGAAUGUUGGUAUGAGUAGCGAAAAGAAAGGUGAGAAUCCUUUCCACCGAAAGCAUAAGGAUUCCUGAGCAACGAUCGUCGUCUCAGGGUAAGUCGGGACCUAAUCCGAGGCAGAGAGCGUAGGAGAUGGACAACUGGUUGAUAUUCCAGUACCGGUAGUAAUUGUUUGAGCAAUGGAGUGACACAGAAGGGCAGGCAAGCAUGCGAAUGGAAGAGCAUGUGUAAGCGUGUAGGGUGGUGCAUAGGCAAAUCCGUGCACUGAAAGCCUGAGGCGUGAUGCGGAGUGAGCAGAGAUGCGAGCGAAGUUGUUGACCCCACACUGUCGAGAAAAGCUUCUAGUGAGAGAGCUACCGCCCGUACCGUAAACCGACACAGGUAUGCGGGGAGAGAAUCCUAAGGUGCGCGGGAGAACCCUCGUUAAGGAACUCGGCAAAAUGUACCCGUAACUUCGGGAUAAGGGUAGCCACUGUUGUGAAGUCCCAUGCGGAUGGAGCAUAGAGUGGUCGCAGAGAAGAGGCCCAAGCGACUGUUUACCAUAAACACAGGUGCCUGCUAAAGCGAAAGCUGACGUAUAGGUGCUGACACCUGCCCAGUGCCGGAAGGUUAAGGAAGGAUGUUCGGAGUAAUCCAAAGCAUUCGACUGAAGCCCCGGUGAACGGCGGCCGUAACUAUAACGGUCCUAAGGUAGCGAAAUUCCUUGUCGGGUAAGUUCCGACCCGCACGAAAGGUGUAACGAUUUGGGCACUGUCUCAACGAGGGACCCGGUGAAAUUGAAAUACCUGUGAAGAUGCAGGUUACCCGCGACUGGACAGAAAGACCCCAUGGAGCUUUACUGUAACCUGACAUUGGGUUUUGAUACAUUACGUACAGGAUAGGUGGGAGGCAUGGAAAGCUGGACGCUAGUCUGGCUGGAGCCGACGUUGGGAUACCACCCUUGAUGUAUUGAAAUUCUAACCGCGAGAGUAACGAAAUCC
rnacentral:rRNA from 1 species